rnacentral:rRNA from 1 species
AUGAUGGAAAACGAGGGCUUAACUGUCUCCUUAAUCCAGUCAAUGAAAUUAACCUCCCCGUGCAGAGGCGGGGAUAGUAACAUAAGACGAGAAGACCCUAUGGAGCUUCAGACACCAGACAGACCACGUCAACCACCUUAAAACAAAAUCACGAACUUAAUGGCUACUGUCUCCAUGUCUUCGGUUGGGGCGACCAUGGGGAAAAAUAUAACCCCCACGUGGACUGAGAGCAAACACCCACUUAUUACUCCCAAAACCAAGAGAAACUCCUCAAAUAAACAGAACUUCUGACCUCAAAUGAUCCGGCAAAGCCGAUCAACGAAACAAGUUACCCUAGGGAUAAGAGCGCAAUCCUCUUUAAGAGCCCAUAUCGACAAGAGGGUUUACGACCUCGAUGUUGGAUCAAGACAUCCUAAUGGUGCAGCAGCUAUUAAGGGUUCGUUUGUUCCCCGAUUAUAGU